AUGAAAGGAGCUCGGGGAGGGGGGGGGAAGGAUGAAAAGGAGGAAGGGAUGAGGGGAAGAAAGGAUGCUUUGCCCUGGCCUCACCUCAGCUCGGUGGGUGGGGGUGGGAGAACCUCUCGCCGCCUCCUCUUCCUCCUCCUCCUCCUCCACCACCACCACCUUCUCCUCCUCCUACUUCUCCACCUCCUCCCCAGCAGCGACGGUCACCGGCGGGCUGGGUGCGCGGCUCCGGCUCCCUCACACGGCCCCCGCCUCCCGUUCGGCUCCGGGGAGGACCCGGGAGCCGCCGCCGGCCUCCCCGCGGCAGCCACUCGGGGUGGAGGCUGCGCGCCUGCGCCUCUCCUCUGCUGCCUCCAGCGGGAGGCCGCGCCGGGCUCCGCCGCUCGGGGGGCGCCGGGGCUGUGGGUACCUUUGAAAAGCAGGGAGAGGAUGGUUAUUAUUGUACAGCCAGGACCAACAGCAAGAAGUUCACCUCUGCUUUUCUCCUAAACUAUAAAAACCCUUUCAUACAGCCUUCCUGCUACACCUGUGUUGCUCAGCCCUCCAUUCACCGCACCAAAUACCAGGUUUUGUCCAUCUCCACAAAGCAUUGCUCUUCUUUCUCUUUUCAUUUUAAUUAGUGUUGCUAAUUGUACCAAGCUUAAGCGAGUUUUGCUGCCCUGCAGCCCUUUCUUCAGCUGUUUCUCCUGGGUGGGACAUGGGGGACAUGUGCGGUCCCCAUCCUGCUCCAGUGUCACUGUGCCUGGCGUCCUACAAAUCCCAGUGGCGAGCAUCCCCUCAGAGAUGGUGUUUCUGGAGGGACCUGGCCGUUUUGAGGCAGCGUGACUCCUGCUGCUGUGCAUUUGUUCUUCCGAGCUUUUUGGGGUGUCCAUCUGCCUUCUUGGCUUCUACGUGAGCCAACAGGCAACAAGGAAGGGAGCGAGAUGAGGCCUUCCAGGCUUUCUCCUCUUCUUGCCUGUUUUAGGCUUGGAGGGGAUUUGCCAAAAUUAUUUCUUUGCCUCAGCCCAUGAGAAAACCUCUACAGGUAUCUGUCUGCCCUCAGGUAGAGGUAGUAGUCAUCAGUAGGUUUUCUUUCUUUCUCCCCAUCCUGAGAAAGGUAUUGUAAGGCUGUAUGUUCAUUUUCCUAAUAAAUGAGGAAGGGAGCUGAACUGGAACCUCUAU
rnacentral:lncRNA from 1 species